rnacentral:tRNA from 1 species
GCUCAGCUGGAUAGAGUACCUGGCUACGAACCAGGCGGUCAGAGGUUCGAAUCCUCUCGAGCGCGCCA